UACGGAAGGUGCGAGCGUUGUUCGGAUUGACUGGGCGUAAAGGGCUUGUAGGCGGAUCUGCAAGUCGGUUGUGAAAUCCCUGGGCUUAACCUAGGAACUGCAAUCGAAACUGCAAAUCUUGAAUACCUGAGGGGCUAGUAGAAUUCCUGGUGUAGGAGUGAAAUCCGUAGAUAUCAGGAGGAAUACCAGAGGCGAAGGCGACUAGCUGGCAGAGUAUUGACGCUGAGGAGCGAAAGCGUGGGUAGCAAACAGG
rnacentral:rRNA from 1 species